ACAAAGGCUCUUUUCAGAGCCACGCUACACUGUCCUAGAGAAAGCUG
rfam:Macaca mulatta chromosome 4, whole genome shotgun sequence.